UCCCUGUUGACUAAGAAAAUUCCUUGGAAACCCAUAUUGAGUCGUACCAUGACAUGUGUUUGUAAAACCAUUUGAUCUGGGGA
rnacentral:sRNA from 1 species